rnacentral:lncRNA from 1 species
UCCAAUGUUAGGUACACAUAGUCUGUUACCAUAGUACAAGUAACCAUCAUCACUUAUCACAUGCUUCUGCUUCUUCCCCUCUUGUACUUGUCUAGUCCAUAAGGCUAUCUCUGUAUCUUCUUUCUGUGCUUCUUUAAUUUGUUGCAGUAAGUUGGGUCUAACUUUCAAUUCUGCUACGAUAGCUCCAUCAUCUGCUAUAGUCAACUGCGCAUUCAUUGCUCUUAAUGCAAAUAAGGAUUUCCUGCUGAGUGCAUCUGCUACCAGAUUAGCUUUGCCUGGGUGAUAAUCUAUAAUGCAAUCAUAAUCUUUCAGUAACUCCAUCCAUCUUCUCUGUCUCAGGUUUAGCUCCUUUUGUGUGGGCAAGUAUUUCAGGCUUUUAU